GAUGAACGCUGGCGGCGUGCCUAAUACAUGCAAGUCGAGCGAACAGAUAAGGAGCUUGCUCCUUUGACGUUAGCGGCGGACGGGUGAGUAACACGUGGGUAACCUACCUAUAAGACUGGAAUAACUCCGGGAAACCGGGGCUAAUGCCGGAUAACAUUUAGAACCGCAUGGUUCUAAAGUGAAAGAUGGUUUUACUAUCACUUAUAGAUGGACCCGCGCCGUAUUAGCUAGUUGGUAAGGUAACGGCUUACCAAGGCAACGAUACGUAGCCGACCUGAGAGGGUGAUCGGCCACACUGGAACUGAGACACGGUCCAGACUCCUACGGGAGGCAGCAGUAGGGAAUCUUCCGCAAUGGGCGAAAGCCUGACGGAGCAACGCCGCGUGAGUGAUGAAGGUCUUCGGAUCGUAAAACUCUGUUAUUAGGGAAGAACAAUUGUGUAAGUAACUGUGCACGUCUUGACGGUACCUAAUCAGAAAGCCACGGCUAACUACGUG
rnacentral:rRNA from 1 species